ensembl:snRNA U6 U6 spliceosomal RNA
GUGAUCACUGCAGCAACACAUAUAUUAAAAUUGGAACAAGACAGACAAGAUUAGCGUGGCCCCUGUACAAGGAUGACAUGCAACUUUUGCAAAGUGGUCCAUAUUUUA